rnacentral:rRNA from 1 species
GACGAACGCUGGCGGCGUGCCUAAUACAUGCAAGUCGAGCGGACCAAAGGGAGCUUGCUCCUGGAGGUUAGCGGCGAACGGGUGAGUAACACGUGGGCAACCUGCCUGUAAGACUGGGAUAACAUCGAGAAAUCGGUGCUAAUACCGGAUAAUAAAAGAACUGCAUGGUUCUUUUUGAAAGAUGGUUUCGGCUAUCACUUACAGAUGGGCCGCGGCGCAUUAGCUAGUUGGUGAGGUAACGGCUCACCAAGGCGACGAUGCGUAGCCGACCUGAGAGGGUGAUCGGCCACACUGGGACUGAGACACGGCCCAGACUCCUACGGGAGGCAGCAGUAGGGAAUCUUCCGCAAUGGACGAAAGUCUGACGGAGCAACGCCGCGUGAGUGAUGAAGGUUUUCGGAUCGUAAAACUCUGUUGUUAGGGAAGAACAAGUGCCGUUCGAAAGGGCGGCACCUUGACGGUACCUAACGAGAAAGCCACGGCUAACUACGUGCCAGCAGCCGCGGU